CCAGUAGGUGGCGACCCUGCACAAACUCAGCAUGACUGAAAUCAAUGAAAAACACAAAAGAAAAAAUGUUCUAAUUGUUUGCACCUGCUGGACCCAGAGGCGAAGAGACAUGUUAAAUUAAUCAUUUGUAUUGUUACAGAAUCAAAAUACGUUUUUGCCUGAUUUUUGGAGAUUUUGUUCUUUGACAUUUUAGCCAGUUGGAGAUUUUGUCUGUUGAGGAUUUAACCGCCUGUUUGCUGAAGUCUUGGAGAAGUUGUGGAAUAAUGGCGUCAAACGGGCUUUAAACAGUGCUGUGUCUGUAGACCGGGCUCCUACAGUUAACCUCGGUUAUCAGAGAGGUAAGCCCAUGUCGAGGCAUUGCAUCUAUCAGAGGAAGAUGAAGUCCAGAGAUGAUCAACAAGGAAGGUCCAGAGGCCUCACUGCAUCUCCAUUAGUCAGCUGAGAACCCAGAGGACGACACUGAGAUGUUACAUGAUUGACAAGUUAUGGGUGCAAGCCAGAAGAGUACAAGAGCCUCUCCUGUAUGGAAAGUGGUCUCUGGCUUCCUCCAAAGUGGCCACACAUGGGACUCUCACCUGAUGGGACUGUCACUUGCAACUCAUUGUGAGUGCCCACGGUGCAAAGCAAGAUGCGGUUAAUGUGCAUCUGUGUGCUGGAGACGAGGCCUCAUCAGUGAGAUGACAGAGAUGAUGUUCCACUGCUCAGUCUGCUACUUCCUCAUCCAGGACUCAAACUUCAACCAGCAAACCACAGAGAGAAGAGACCGACAUGAAGGAGGUACAGAACUUCAACUCUCUGCACAUGCUGGCUAGUGCCUGCAGCACGAUCAGUCCAUCUUGUAUCUAUCUAUGAUCUGCUCUCAUCAUUUUAACUUUUGCACCUAAUGUGUGUGUUGUUUUUUUAAACAACAAAUAAAAACAUUUUCCUACCUUCA